rnacentral:misc_RNA from 1 species
GUGGAGUAAGGGCAUAGAGUCUAAGAGAAAGGACCCUUGUCCAUUGUUGAGGUGGCUAUUGCUUAUGUAUCGUAGACAUUUGUAGUGUAUUAAAAAGUUAAAAUAUUAAAUAUAUUUGUUAUGUCUAGAGGAGAAUGAAUGGGACAAAUUAAUAUAUUUACUUUAAGUAGUCGUUUCAUCAAGAGGGAUCUCUUGGGUGUAAUGGGAUAU